CUCUGCUGUGGAACCUGACUGACCUCAGUGCUUUGCCUGUGUGCAGAAGAAGAACAAGGACCAGAUCUCCAGUCUUCUCUCUCACAUCCCAACCCCCCAUCCCCUCUAUCCUCUGUUUUGCUCCACCUGUUGUCUCUUCCUUCUUUCCAUCUGUAUUUCACCCUGUGGUUUGUUGCUCAGUUGCCAAACCAAAACUCUUAUUACGGUUUGAUGAGAAUUUCCAAGCCGUGUCUCUCCUGCUCUGCCUGUUCUCUCUGCUAAAUUUUCUCUCUACCUGUUUUUCACUCUUGGCUUGCUGCUGAAAAAUGCCAAGCCAUUAAAGCAAUAAAGAGUGCAUAUAUUGCCUCUACCCUGAGAACAAACUGAACAAACAAAGAAAACUCUAAUUCACGGUUUGAUUGUGAUUUCCAAGCCGUGUCUCUCCUGCUCUGCCUGUUCUCUCUUCUAAAUUUUCUCUCUACCUGUUUUUCAUUCAUACAUAAUAUUCUCUGGACUGAAGAACAAACUGUCAAACAAAGACAACUGUUUCAGAAAAAUAAAAAGUGAAA